CGUGAUGUGGACGCCGACGUUUCUUUGGAUAUGUGAAUUUAUGCUUUGGAUGAAUAAUUCAAUUAUACAAACACGUCGGACUUUGACGUCAUCAGUGGUCGACAAGAACAAAAACAUGGCGGAAAGUCGUUCGGCUUGACUUCGGUAAAAACUCCUCUUCUUUUUUGUUUAUCAUCCUUUCGUCUAUGUAGAGUCUGUCAGUGAUUUUGUAGAAUUGCAAUACUGCGUUCGCUGUUGGUACUGUAGAAGCUUAUUUUGUUGAGUUGCCAUAGUUGGCAGGGGGGUGUUAUGUUGGACUGCGCGGGUUUUUGGGUCGUGUCUAACGGAGACUGAAGGCACGAAUAAUGUUGUUAUCUUGCUGCACCAACGAACUUGGACCUUAUUGACUGCUGUCCCCGCGGAUUUACCAAAUAUAACCCUCGGCUACAAUACUGCGGACACCAAAGACGCAAAGCUGAAUGAUUUUGACUCACGUCCACUGUUUAAAAUCAAGUGGCCACUGAUAAAUUGGUAUUCAGGCUGUACUCUGACGAUGAUGCCUUAUUUCUUGCUGAUUUGCUGUUGGAGGAAUCGAAGAAUACUUAACCUCAAGAAUCCUCAGAAGUGUCUGGACCGGACAAAUUUUUAUUUGUUUGGGUUGAGAAGGACGAGGAAGGGAAUCCUAUCCCAAAGAGGAGGAGAACCGGGAAGAAGCGGGCAAAGAGGUGAUUUCCUCAGGUGAGAGACAAUGGUCAAUUGUCAAUUGGGUCAAUGAGUCCUCACAUAUUGCACCCACCCAGUGAAUACAUCCUACUGCAUGGAUCCUCUACUACACUUGGACGGUGAUUUCUGGGAGCAUGCACUCAUUGCCAUGUGCGCCAUCUACAAGUGGACAUCAGUACGUGACUGAGACCGUUCAAGAUAUAGGAUCCCUCAUUCAAGAGGUGCAGGACCUUUUGGGACCUGCCAUAGACCCAGCACCUUCACACUGGAAAGACAGGAAAGCUUCAACUCUGGAAAAGUGGACUGUGUUAAGGCCGUAUAUGGUUAAUCAGAUGUUACAGUCUGAGAAGCCUAUAGAGGGAACUUGUCACCACUGCAGAUCCAAGACUGCUGUUGUGAAAUGUCAGGAUUGUUUGCCGAGACCACUUCACUGUGCAGCCUGUGAUGUUUCCAUCCACAAUUCCAUGGUUUUACAUAAUAGAUCAUCCAUGAUAGAGGGAUUCUACAGGCCACUGCCACCAACCACUCACAUCAGGGAAGAGAAGGGAGGAAAAUUCUCCUUCAAUGAAAGAGAGUGCAUUUUGCCAGUAAUGCAUCCAUGCUGCGACUGCUGCUCUGGGCAAACAACCUUUUCUGCAGGAAAGCAAGUAAUUCUGAUUGGAAUGAAUGGUCGAUACAAUGUGUCCCUCCCAACUGUCAGCUGCUCCUGUGGGAAAGCUUUGGAUGUCGGUAUUAGUGAGCUGAUUGAAAGUGGCUACUGGCCAGCUACAGUCAAUUUUGAGACGAUGUACACAGUGGAUUUGUUCGCGACAUACGAAGAUCUCAAGAUUACUGCACCAGGAAUGUCAUGACAAGCUUUCGUUGGUAUGCUUGAGCAGCGCACAAAACUCUUUGGUCGGUGUGGUAAAAUAUGUGGCGACACCAUGCAAAAAUCAUUCCUGGAAUGGUCGUACGCAAAAUUUGAAGUUGAGAGGCUGUCUGAAGUCGAUGAGUUUCGGUGCCCAGCCUGCACACCCUCAAUGUUAGCUGUCUCAGUGGAUGGGAACCGCAAGCUUUAUCGCUUUAAGAGCCAUUCAGGACCAAAUGGCUUUUUCGAAGGUGUCUUUUUGGCCAACGACACAGAGGUGACCUCUUUUGUCAACCACAUCAGGGCAUCAACAGGACAUAAUCCUGGGAAAGGCAGGUGUGGUGGAAGCGAAUGGGUGGCUGCACGAGAGUCCUGAGGAGCUCAAGAAAUUGGCUGGAGAGUUGUCUAUUCAGGAAGACACUGUUCAGCAAUGGGUGUCUGAUGUUCAACAGUGGACUGCAGAAGGAGCAUGCAGUCAAAAUGAACUUGAAAAAACCAUUGAAGGACUGUAUCUCAGCAUUAAGCAGCGGAAAUAUCAGCUGUAUCGUCAGGCUGAUGGCAACAAGAGAAGACAUCUGCUUAGAAAAAAGAUUUCAGUGGAAAAGAGAUCCUUAGAAGAUGCCAUCACAAAAUACAAUGCUGUUGUGCCGGAAACUGGCAAACUCCCUUCUCCCAACGAGCUCCUGGCUGAGGAAAACUAUUCCUGGCCUUGGGAAUGUCAUGGUGAUAUGUUAAAGAAAAAAAAAGUCUUUGACAAGGUAAUGCUGCUGAACCGACUGAAGGAAGAGGAGGUCAUUGUUGUCCGUGAAGUCAAGCAGCACUGGGAGUACAUGAGGAAUAUGGCUGGAAAUAUUGAAGAGAUUUCCUCCCAGCUUUCAGAAGGGAUCACUCAGCAAAGCGGCACAGAAGCAUUGACUGGGAGAGGACGUGAGGGGCUACUCUGUCUGCUGAAGAGAAGACUGUCAGCAAUUCAAGCUCAGCAGGGUGCAGCUCGCUCAACGUACCAACAUGUUUUUGGAUCGCAAGCCUUGUCUCUCGAUGAUUCGUCCACUGAUGAUGAAGAACCCCAUGAUAGCAGCUCCUCCACCGAAGAUGAAGAACACUAGCAUUGUAGCUCCUCUUCUGAACUUUGACCUCCCUCAUUAAAAAAUUAGGAAAACUGUAGUAAUUACCUGGCCUGCAGUAUGAAUGUGAAAUGUUAAAAUAAACUGUCCUGCAAUUGACUCUUUUUCUGAGUUAUGUACUAUUACUAUUUUGAAGUAGAUGCUGAUGCUUUUUAUGUAAAUUAUGAAUGAUUAAUUUGAGAUUUGUUGGUAGGGCAGUGAAAUACGGCUUUUCAUGCAGCCUCA